GUACGGGAGGCAGCAGUGGGGAAUUUUGCGCAAUGGGGGAAACCCUGACGCAGCAACGCCGCGUGAGUGAUGAAGGCCUUCGGGUCGUAAAGCUCUGUCAGAGGGAAAGAAAUGUGCGAGGGUUAAUACCCCUUGUACUUGACGGUACCCUCAAAGGAAGCACCGGCUAACUCCGUGCCAGCAGCCGCGGUAAUACGGAGGGUGCGAGCGUUGUUCGGAUUUAUUGGGCGUAAAGCGCGUGUAGGCGGCUUCUUAAGUCUGAUGUGAAAGCCCUGGGCUCAACCCGGGAAGUGCAUUGGAAACUGGGAAACUUGAAUACGGGAGAGGGUAGUGGAAUUCCUGGUGUAGGAGUGAAAUCCGUAGAUAUCAGGAGGAACACCGGUGGCGAAGGCGGCUGCCUGGACCGAUAUUGACGCUGAGACGCGAAAGCGUGGGGAGCAAACAGGAUUAGAUACCCCAGUAGUCC
rnacentral:rRNA from 1 species